GAGGCUUCGUGUGUGUUCGCGCUUGCGGGUUCGAUUCCCGCCG
rnacentral:tRNA from 1 species